rnacentral:rRNA from 1 species
GACGUAGGGCGCGAGCGUUGUCCGGAUUUAUUGGGCGUAAAGAGCUCGUAGGCGGUGUGUCACGUCGGCCGUGAAAACCUGCAGCUUAACUGUGGGCGUGCGGUCGAUACGGGCAUCACUGGAGUUCGGCAGGGGAGACUGGAAUUCCUGGUGUAGCGGUGAAAUGCGCAGAUAUCAGGAGGAACACCGGUGGCGAAGGCGGGUCUCUGGGCCGAUACUGACGCUGAGGAGCGAAAGCGUGGGGAUCAAACAGG